rnacentral:rRNA from 1 species
UGACCAGGGCUACACACGUACUACAAUGGCAGGUACAAAGGGCAGCACUUAGCGAUAAGGCGCGAAUCCCGUAAAAACCUGUCUCAGUCCGGAUUGGAGUCUGCAACUCGACUCCAUGAAGUUGGAAUCGCUAGUAAUCGCAGAUCAGCACGCUGCGGUGAAUACGGUUCCCGGGCCUU